rnacentral:rRNA from 1 species
CGGGUGAGUAAAGCAUCGGAACGUACCCUAGAGUGGGGGAUAACUAUCCGAAAGGAUAGCUAAUACCGCAUAUUCUAUGAGUAGGAAAGCGGGGGAUCUUCGGACCUCGCGCUCUAGGAGCGGCCGAUGUCAGAUUAGGUAGUUGGUGGGGUAAAGGCCUACCAAGCCGACGAUCUGUAGCGGGUCUGAGAGGAUGAUCCGCCACACUGGGACUGAGAUACGGCCCAGACUCCUACGGGAGGCAGCAGUGGGGAAUUUUGGACAAUGGGGGCAACCCUGAUCCAGCCAUGCCGCGUGAGUGAAGAAGGCCUUCGGGUUGUAAAGCUCUUUCGGCCGGGAAGAAAUCGUGUGGGCUAAUACCCUGCAUGGAUGACGGUACCGGAAUAAGAAGCACCGGCUAACUACGUGCCAGCAGCCGCGGUAAUACGUAGGGUGCGAGCGUUAAUCGGAAUUACUGGGCGUAAAGCGUGCGCAGGCGGUUUUUUAAGACAGGCGUGAAAUCCCCGGGCUUAACCUGGGAACUGCGCUUGUGACUGGAAGGCUAGAGUACGGCAGAGGGGGGUGGAAUUCCACGUGUAGCAGUGAAAUGCGUAGAGAUGUGGAGGAACACCGAUGGCGAAGGCAGCCCCCUGGGCCGAUACUGACGCUCAUGCACGAAAGCGUGGGGAGCAAACAGGAUUAGAUACCCUGGUAGUCCACGCCCUAAACGAUGUCAACUAGUUGUUGGG